rnacentral:misc_RNA from 1 species
GGAUUGAACGGCUUCAGCAGCUUGGCCCACAGCAGCCGGGCCGCGCGCAUCUUGGCGACUUCCAUGAAGAAGUUCAUGCCGAUGGCCCAGAAGAACGACAGUCGGGGGGCGAAGCGAUCGACAUCGAGGCCGGCGGCCAAUCCGGNNNNNNNNNNNGACGCCAUCGGCGAGCGUGUAGGCGAGUUCGAGAUCCUGCGUCGCGCCAGCUUCCUGCAUGUGGUAGCCGGAAAUCGAAAUCGAAUUGUACUUCGGCAUCUUCUGCGACGUGUAUGCGAAGAUAUCCGAGAUGAUCCGCAUCGAGGGAGCCGGCGGAUAGAUGUAGGUGUUGCGCACCAUGAAUUCUUUGAGAAUGUCGUUCUGGAUGGUGCCCGACAGUUUCUCCGGCGGCA